ACCUUUCUCUGAGUCAAGGAAACUCCGGGACUUCAGCACUGCGCUGGUGCUCAGAGGCCCAGUCUCUCAGGAACACAGGAAAGCAGGCCAAACACGAACACACAGCAAGCGCCCGGCGCCUCUGGGACCCAUCUGCUCACCUGGUGCUCUCGGCCUCUUGGAUCCGGAGUCACUGGGUCUCCUCACUCACUUGUCGUCUGCCCCCUCCCCCCGCCCCAUGAGUGAGCCCCCUUGCUGGCAGCUCCACCCGUGUCCCCAGCAACCCAGCUGACAAAGGCCGGGGGUGAGUGUCUGCUCCGUGGGAACACACCGCUCCGUGUGCAAGCACUUAAGAUGGAGCCUGGGCCUGUUGAGAGAGGCAAGUGCCCCACCGCUGCCCUGAUCUCCCCUCAACAAGCCCUCCCUGAGCCACGCUGAAAUUGCCACCCCAGCGAACGAGGAGGCCAGCAGAAGUGACAGCAGCAGCAAGACCCUCCCAGUGCUCCAGGGGUGCAGAGCAAGUGGCCAAGGCAGCAGGGUGGGAGUGCCCGCCGUGGGGUCUCUGCUCCCUGGAAGGGCACUGUGACACCACGAUGGCCUCCACCUGUGCCCGGCAGACCUGGAGGACAGUCAUCUGUCCGGCCUCGCAUCCCAGCCAACCGCAGAGCAGAGCUGCCUAACUCAACGCUUCCGUACUGCCACUCCCCAGUGACAGAGUGACGGCCAUGCACACAGCACCCCACCCCUUCACGUGCCAGAGGUCCUCAUCCUUGCGAGGAGACGCGGACUCUCUGCCCGUGCUGCACCGCCGCCUUCUGCAGUGUCACAGCCAGCCCUGGAAUCUGGUGCCGGAAAUUCUCCGACUGCCCUUCCUGCCUCUCCCUCUCUUCCUCCUCUCUCCUCUCCUUUUCUCUUUUCUUUUCUUUGCAUCCUUCUUUCUUUUCAGUAAUAAGGAUUGAGCCCAGGGUCUUUGCACUGACCUACAUUCCCAUCCUUUUUUUUUUCCUGUACUGGAAAUGGAACUCAGG